rnacentral:rRNA from 1 species
AUUCCAGCUCCAAUAGCGUAUAUUUAAGUUGUUGCAGUUAAAAAGCUCGUAGUUGGAUCUUGGGUCGUAAGGGUCGGUCCGCCUACUCGGUGUGCACCUGCCCUUCCGUCCCUUUUGUCGGCGGCGUGCUCCUGGCCUUAAUUGGCUGGGUCGCGGUUCCGGCGCUGUUACUUUGAAAAAAUUAGAGUGCUCAAAGCAAGCUUAUGCUCUGAAUACAUUAGCAUGGAAUAACGUGAUAGGAGUCUGGUCCUAUUGUGUUGGCCUUCGGGACCGGAGUAAUGAUUAAUAGGGACUGUCGGGGGCAUUCGUAUUUCAUUGUCAGAGGUGAAAUUCUUGGAUUUAUGAAAGACGGACCACUGGGAAAGCAUUUGCCAAGGAUGUUUUCAUCA